rnacentral:lncRNA from 1 species
CAGGUUAUACAGGUUUAUCUUCUAAAAUGUAAUUGUUUAGUGUUUUAAAUUCAAAUUUAUAUACUUCAACCUAAAAUUUAGUGCUAUUCUCCUUGUCCUCAAAAUGGAAAUGAGGAUACCUGAAUGAUUUAAAUUCUAAUUUUAUUUUUCUCCUGAUACCAUAUUCAUAUCCAUAAAAAGUCUGUUUGUGGUUUUAUAAUAUUUUGUGUAGCAAUGCCGAGUAUUAGAUUGUAUCAUAUAGUUGUGAAAAGUUGUGAAAAUAUGACAGAAAUAUGCGAAACAAAAGACUGUGUGCUUGCAACAUCCAUGUGUGUUACGCAGUUCAUAAAACACUGAUAACUUGUACAAAAAA